UAGGGAAUCUUCCGCCAUGGACGCAAGUCUGACGGAGCAACGCCGCGUGAGUGAAGAAGGAUUUCGGUUCGUAAAACUCUGUUGUUAGAGAAGAACAGCGCAUAGAGUAACUGUUAUGCGUGUGACGGUAUCUAACCAGAAAGCCACGGCUAACUACGUGCCAGCAGCCGCGGUAAUACGUAGGUGGCAAGCGUUGUCCGGAUUUAUUGGGCGUAAAGCGAGCGCAGGCGGUCAAUUAAGUCUGAUGUGAAAGCCCCCGGCUCAACCGGGGAGGGUCAUUGGAAACUGGUUGACUUGAGUGCAGAAGAGGAGAGUGGAAUUCCAUGUGUAGCGGUGAAAUGCGUAGAUAUAUGGAGGAACACCAGUGGCGAAGGCGACUCUCUGGUCUGUAACUGACGCUGAGGCUCGAAAGCGUGGGUAGCAAACAGG
rnacentral:rRNA from 1 species